rnacentral:rRNA from 1 species
AGGAUGAACGCUGGCGGCGUGCUUAACACAUGCAAGUCGAACGAUGAAGCCGGGAGCUUGCUCCUGGUGGAUUAGUGGCGAACGGGUGAGUAACACGUGAGUAACCUGCCCCAGACUCUGGGAUAAGCACUGGAAACGGUGUCUAAUACCGGAUACGAGCUUCAGCCGCAUGGCUAGGAGCUGGAAAGAUUUCGGUCUGGGAUGGACUCGACGGCCUAUCAGGUAGUUGGUGAGGUAAAGGCUCACCAAGCCGACGACGGGUAGCCGGCCUGGAGAGGGUGACCGGCCACGACUGGGACUGAGACACGGCCCAGACUCCGUAACGGGAGCAGCAGGUAGGGAAUUA